UACGUAGGGGGCUAGCGUUGUUCGGAAUUACUGGGCGUAAAGCGCACGUAGGCGGCUUUGUAAGUUAGAGGUGAAAGCCCGGGGCUCAACCCCGGAACUGCCUUUAAGACUGCAUCGCUUGAAUCCAGGAGAGGUGAGUGGAAUUCCGAGUGUAGAGGUGAAAUUCGUAGAUAUUCGGAAGAACACCAGUGGCGAAGGCGGCUCACUGGCCUGGUAUUGACGCUGAGGUGCGAAAGCGUGGGGAGCAAACAGG
rnacentral:rRNA from 1 species